rnacentral:tRNA from 1 species
GCCUCUGUAGCUCAGUUGGUUAGAGCGCUGCACCGGAAUCGCAGGCCGCAGGUUCGAUUCCUGCGAGGGACC